GAUGAACGCUGGCGGCGUGCCUAAUACAUGCAAGUCGAGCGAACGGACGAGAAGCUUGCUUCUCUGAUGUUAGCGGCGGACGGGUGAGUAACACGUGGAUAACCUACCUAUAAGACUGGGAUAACUUCGGGAAACCGGAGCUAAUACCGGAUGAUAUUUUGAACCGCAUGGUUCAAAAGUGAAAGACGGUCUUGCUGUCACUUAUAGAUGGAUCCGCGCUGCAUUAGCUAGUUGGUAAGGUAACGGCUUACCAAGGCAACGAUGCAUAGCCGACCUGAGAGGGGGAGCGGCAAAACGGGAAUGAGAACCGGCCCGGCCGCCCGGGGGGGGGAACAGGGGGGGAUCUUCCGGAAGGGGGGAAAGGCCGAACGGAGCAGCGCGGGGUGAGGGAGGAGGGUCUUGGGAUCUAAAAACUUUUUUUUGGGGAAAAAACAUAUGUGUAGGAAACUGGGCACGUCUGGAGGGAACUUAAUAAAAAACCCAGGGCAAACUCCGGC
rnacentral:rRNA from 1 species